rnacentral:rRNA from 1 species
GACAGAGGGUGCAAACGUUGUUCGGAAUUACUGGGCGUAAAGCGCGUGUAGGCUGCCCCGCAAGUCGGAUGUGAAAGCCCUGGGCUCAACCUAGGAAGUGCAUUCGAAACUGCGGGGCUGGAGUCCCGGAGAGGAAGGCGGAAUUCUCGGUGUAGAGGUGAAAUUCGUAGAUAUCGAGAGGAACACCGGUGGCGAAGGCGGCCUUCUGGACAGUGACUGACGCUGAGACGCGAAAGCGUGGGGAGCAAACAGG